rnacentral:tRNA from 2 species
GCCGGCUUAGCUCAGUUGGUAGAGCACCGCUCUUGUAAAGCGGAUGUCGCGGGUUCGAACCCCGCAGCCGGCU